UGUCAAGGAGGUGGACAGCUGGGCAAGUGAAAUAACCUUUUGUUCAUCAAUCACAUUCUAUUAUAUCUGAAAUUGUUAUGAUUUCAGUUAAUGUCAUAUCAGAGAGCACAAAAUGUUUCAAUUUAUCACUUUUUGCUUAAAGGUUUAGCCUGCCAGAAGUUUGGGAGGGCGAAGACUGUGGCACCGGAGUUGAAGCCCAUCAAAGUUGUUUCACCAUGGCACAUGAUCGGGGUGGACCUCAUCGGACCCUUCACUAAAUCCAGGAAUGGCAAUGGCGACCGAUCACUUUACCAAGACGAGACUAGCGAGGCCACCUCCAAGGCGAUGGUGGACUAUCUUCAACACCCACGGUUCUCCUGAGGUCAUCUUGAGUGACUGAGGUCAUUGACGCUGGAACAAGGUUUGGUGAAUGGACCAACCAGACCCUCAAGGCUGCCAUGUGCAAGUCCCUUGAUACUAGGAAGGGUGAGAGAAAAGCCUGAAGAUAAUGCUCUUUGCACACAACAGCAGCAUCCAGGCCGAGUACAGACGAGAGCCACAGCUGUUGACUGAGAUCACUGAAACCCCACCUGAUGUGGUGGAAGUUGUGGAACCAGAUCAGAACACCUUCAGGCACGGACUGAGAAGGAUGUGGAGGUUUUUGACCAGGACACCCAGACAUGGAUCCACCUGAUGUCCUCCAUUCCCAACCAUCCUCCAACUUUUCAUUACAUCAUUUACAGCUACUGUUGUUGUCAUUUUCUGCUAAGAAAGUUGUAUUGCUCUAUCAUACAGGGCAUAUAAUAUGUGAGAUACACAGAUUAACUAAAAACACUAGCACUGCAAACACUCAGAACAAAGAGAGCAGCAGUGCCUGGACUUUGCAGUCUCCGUCUUCAAGUCCCCCUUCUGAGACUGGCUGCCUGUUGAGAACAAGUGACAGGCUGAAUUCCACACACCAGAAUUCAGUAUUUUAGUCUAUGAUUGUCAUGUGAGUGUACAAAAAAUCUGUGAAAAUAAAUUAAUGACACAACUGUACCAAAAACGAUCAAAGUUUAUGUAUAAAAAUCUAAAAUUUUGCCAGGUUGGUUUUCACAGCUGUUUCACAAGGUGUUCAUUAUUGUAAGUU